CUUUACUGUAGCUUUGCAUUGGACUUUGACGGGACUUGUGUAGGAUAGGUGGGAGGCUGUGAGGCGUGGUCGCCAGAUCGCGCGGAGCCGACGUUGAAAUACCACCCUGGUGUCGUUGAGGUUCUAACCUUGGUCCGUGAAUCCGGAUCGGGGACCGUGCAUGGCAGGCAGUUUGACUGGGGCGGUCUCCUCCCAAAGUGUAACGGAGGAGUACGAAGGUCUUCUAAGCACGGUCGGACAUCGUGCUCAUAGUGCAAUGGCAAAAGAAGGCUUGACUGCGAGUCCCACAAGACGAGCAGGUGCGAAAGCAGGUCAUAGUGAUCCGGUGGUUCUGUAUGGAAGGGCCAUCGCUCAACGGAUAAAAGGUA
rnacentral:rRNA from 1 species